rnacentral:rRNA from 1 species
ACGGCUCAGUAACACGUAGUCAACAUGCCCAGGGGACGUGGAUAACCUCGGGAAACUGAGGAUAAACCGCGAUAGGUCAUAAUAUCUGGAAUGAUUUAUGGCUAAAAUCUACAUGGCCCCUGGAUUGGACUGCGGCCGAUCAGGCUGUUGGUGAGGUAAUGGCCCACCAAACCUAAAACCGGUACGGGCUCUGAGAGGAGAAGCCCGGAGAUGGGCACUGAGACAAGGGCCCAGGCCCUAUGGGGCGCAGCAGGCGCGAAAACUCUGCAAUAAGCGAAAGCUUGACAGGGUUAUUCUGAGUGAUUUCCGCUAAGGAGAUCUUUUGGCACCUCUAAAAAUGGUGCAGAAUAAGGGGUGGGCAAGCCUGGUGUCAGCCGCCGCGGUAAUACCAGCACCCCGAGUGGUCGGGACGAUUAUUGGGCCUAAAGCAUCCGUAGCCGGUUCUACAAGUCUUCCGUUAAAUCCACCUGCUUAACAGUUGGGCUGCAGAGGAUACUAUAGAGCUAGGAGGCGGGAGAGGCAAGCGGUACUUAGUGGGUAGGGGUAAAAUCCGUUGAUCCACUGAAGACCACCAGUGGCGAAGGCGGCUUGCCAGAACGCGCUCGACGGUGAGGGAUGAAAGCUGGGGGAGCAAACCGGAUUAGAUACCCGGGUAGUCCCAGCUGUAAACGAUGCAGACUCGGUGAUGAAUAGGCUUCGUGCCUAUUCAGUGCCGCAGGGAAGCCGUUAAGUCUGCCGCCUGGGGAGUACGGUCGCAAGACUGAAACUUAAAGGAAUUGGCGGGGGAG